rnacentral:misc_RNA from 1 species
UGUCCGCCUUGCCCUUCAUUAUUAGCGUCGUCACGCCGGCGAGUGGGUCAAGUGCCGCGGCCGAGAUGAACACUGCGCCGACUCUGGAGAUGCUGGGGAGAAUCUCGGUGCUCUCGACGGACAACGCGACUGUGUCGACGCUGUCCCCUCCCAGUUGUGACCCCAUCGCCUCCUGUCACGACUUCUAUCGGCGACUGAACAGCAGUCUCGGUGUCUCGUCUGCCUCGUCGGUCCCUCUUCUGCGGAGCAUUCCACCCCCUCCGGCGACGUCGCUUGGCGACAGUAGCAGCUGCAGUGACGACAGCGCCGCCGCAGCUACUGCUGUGUCGCCGCUGUCUACGCUCCUAUCGCGGCGUUGCUCGGGGCAGCAUCCGCCUUCGCUGCUGAACAGUCAGACACUCGCUUCUGUGCUGUCCGUCGGAGAGGCGGAUGCACCUCUCACACCUCCGUCAAGCCCUUCAGAGCCGCCGUUGCCAUUGCCAGACCCCGCACCCUCUCCGCAGGCGUCUGCUCCACCGCAGCAGCAGCAGCAGCAGCAGCCCCCUGCAGACGUCGUCGCGCGACUGAACCCCUCGCUGCUCCUCAUGGCGCAGACACUGUGCGGCUGUCCUUUCGCGGAGGUCAUGUGCCCCGUCCUCGUGAUGGAGAGCUCGAGAGCGCGCAUCGCCGCGGCCGCGAUAAGAAACCCAGACCCAGCAAGCUCCUCGGCAAUGACCGUAGACCCCGACACACAGAGGCAGGGUCUGCCUCUCACACUGGGCCGGCCGCCCCACUCUGGGUCCUCGUCGAGCUCGCUCCGUCACCUCGACUCCCCGCAGCCUCUGGCUAGCAACGCCACCGUCCUUGACCGCAAAGAGGACGACAUGGCCGAGGACAGUCGCGGCACUUACCACCAAGCCGCCGCUGCGGUGGCGAACGGGGACGCGAGCGACGCCGGUGUCGAUGACGAAGGCGGCCCCGAGACGAACUCGGCGCCCGCAUCGAGGAUACUGAAGUCGAUAUCCAAGACCUUGAUGGGCCGUGCGUCUUCGUCGUCGCACAACACGACCACCAACGCCGUCACCAUGGCCACCUCCACCGCUGCAACGGCGACCGGAACCUUCACCCCUAACCACAGCGCGCUCCCGCUGGAGAAGCUGAACAGCGAUAGCCCGACGCCGCCGCCACCAUGCGCCUGGUCGCUCGUGUACGCCAACGACGCUGCCGCGAGCAUGCUGGGCUGCAGCAGCGUGGAUGAAGUGACGACGGCGGCAUUUGAUAACCUGCUCUGCUGCUUCGCGCUGACCCUUCCCCCAAGCGCCUCCGCCGGCAGCAUCCGCAGUAGCAUGCCCCUGGUCACCGCCGCAGCGGCAACGGAUGGGGCAUCGGUGCCAUUCGCGCUCGCCUCGCUACCCGCUACGGCGUCCUCUUCAUCACCGCAGGCCGCAUGCUUCGGGGAGAAAGAGAUGGCCAGCAAUGACGAAAACGACGACAAGGGACGCCAGAAGCAUCAGCAGCCGUCUUCCAACGCAGUGCAGCAGCCGGGAUGGCGGGAGGUGCAAAACCCAGGCGAGCUUUUCGCUCUGCCCAACCACAACUACGUCAUCCUGUACAGCAAGCGCACCUCCGCGUACUACGCGGCACUUGCAGUGCCGUCGCACCAGCCGAAGAUGUCACAGCAAACCAGCGUGGACGGCGAGAGUACGCCUCGGAUGGGCUCGCCAUCGACGAUGCGGAACCAGUCGCUGUGUCCCACCACCCAACAAGCUGAAUGCUACCCACCAGUGCCGAGGAAUCCAUCACACCCCAGCGCAGACGUCCCAUCGUCGAGGCUGACAGGCAGCGAGGAGGCCACCGGGAUGGCGCAGUGCGGGCGACGAACCUCGACUAUAUUAGCAGCAGCAAACACCUCCUCCCCGCUCGAGCCCGACCUGAGUGAUGGAGCGUCGCCGCCGCCGCCGAUGCAGCAGCAGCGCUGCAGCCGGUACGUGGAGAUUUACAUCCUUCAGCGGCUGGAGAGUAGUCAUAGACCAGCUGGCAUUGCAAGGAUGCCGACCGCACGCGCGGUGGCCGCCGGCCCCCCGCCAACGCUGGUAACGCUUGGCAGUGGCGCUGCUGAUGCGCGCGGGCCGGGCGCUCGGACCACGACAUCCCCCGGCGAUCAUCGGUCCACGGCCGUCUUUACGCCGCCACCCGCAGAGGCACCGCACCUGCGCAGUCCACAGCAGCUGCCGCCGCCACCGCAUCGGCCACCGCGCUCGGCGUUGUCCAACUCUGCCACUGCAGCCGCAGUCACCGAAACGGGCAGUGUCGACUCUCUCGACGUCGACGCGCCGCGUCCGCUGCGGGAGCAGUAUGCGAACCGCAGCCAGCACGCCUCCCUACACCCGAUGGUGCAGAGCCAGCGCCGGCUUCCGAGCAGCAGCACGGAACGCUCUUCUAACUGGGCCGCGUCACGCACGAGUGGGCAUCCCGGAUCCCCGGCGCCCGGCGUGCAAGUCACCUUUGGCAGUCCUGAGACGCCCUCUGCCAACAGCGACGCCGCCUCGGCGAUGCGGAGUUCCUCGCAGCACACAAACCAAAACAGUCUGUACGAUCUGAGCUACCCGGCCUUCCAUGUGAAUCUUGCGCAACCGACGAUCACCUCCACGGACUGCCUGUACGGCGCCAACGAACCCGCUGGUGCGGCACCUCUGGCGGCCGCCGUAGCGGGAGGAUCACGAGGGCUGCCGCUCACACCACUGCACAAGCCAGGCGAAGACCCGCACCACAACUACAGCAGCCCCAACAGCAGCUCUACACCGUUGCAGAAGACAGCAUCGAAUGCCCGCCAACCGCAGCCGGAGCAACGUCACCUGCUGAGCCGCCAACGCCAGCACAGGCCACUAGCUGGCCUUGUCGACGACGAGGAUGAGGCACGCGCGGUGACCCGGUUCAAGCGCAGCUCCAUGAACAAUUCGCUGCCCAUCUCUCCAGCCCUCCAACCAGCGUCUGGGACGGCUUCUCGCCAACGCAGCCUCAGCUCCGCGCCACUGUCGGCGACAAGCACAACCAUUGCCCUCCUAAGCUGUGCGCGAUCCCGCAUGCUCUCUCCUCUCUAUCAGCAGCUGCCCCCGCCUAGCAGCGGACGUGUUUCGUCGUCGGGGUCGGCACGCCUGCAGUCACCAGCGGCUUCCACGGCAGCCCUCGCCCCUGCAGUGACUCCGCCAGCACCGAGGCGUGCGAUGCAGGAGGCGCGCGACGUGGAGAGCGUCGUCCAGCUGGCCCAGCAGGUGCGCGCGGAACAGCAGCCUUAUCGCAAGAACAAAGCUGGGCAGCUCGCGGCGUUUGCGAGGGGCUCUCCGCCGUCGGCGUGGGCUCACAGAGACUCGCAGCCGUUAUCGCCGUUGUCUUUGAGCCUUUUUCACUCGCAUGCCUCCCUGGUGCACCGCUCCCCGCACAGUGGUGGUCAUCACAGCCUCGUAAGUGGCGGCGACGCCGCAGGCCUCAGCGAAUACAGUCUGCCCCACCACACCUUCCCCAGUGCCGUGACAGGAUGCCUACUGCAGCAGCCGCAGCCUUCAGGCUGGGCGUCCCCUAUGGAGACCAGCGCUGCGCAGAUGCUCGGCAAUGUGGCGGGAAUGUCGUGGCAGCGGAGCAACGAGGUGGAUCAAAUCACGCCACACAAGCUUGCGGACCGGGUGCGAUCUCAGCGCGGCGUCGUGGCCGUUCUCGUGUCGGCACGCCUGCCGCACACCAUCAUUUUUAACUCGGUUGCGUUUAUGAUGUUCGUGCAGCACGUUCUGCGGUUCCAGCGCCGCAACGGCGCCACGCAGGUGGCGUGCAUCCUGAACGUGUGCCGUAAGAUGCAGCUGGUCAUUCACAUGAUCCCUGUGGAGGUACUGCCGGGCGCCAGCGGCUGCGUCAAGCGCACCGGCGCUGACAACGGUAGCCCCAGCACCAACAGCGCCAGUCCCGCCAGCCGCAGGGUGAGCGUGAGCUGGAAGGCAAAUAAUGGCAAUGCUGAGGGCGCCGACGGAAACAGCAGCACAGUCACAGAGGCUGUCGGGGCAUUGUCGAAGCUAAACGCAACGUUGCCGAGCCCGCAGGAGGCGAAUCCCGCGGGGCACCACCUUCUAGGCUCGCUGCCUUCAUCGGCACCUGCCACGUCCUCACAGCAGCAGCAGCAGCAGCAGCAGCAGCGGAUGAUCGUGGAGCUACUGAGAGCAAGACUGGAGGACCUCGACGUCCUCUACGGCUACGAGGAGUUGAGGGAAGCCUUCUCUCCCGCGGCCCCCGCGCUAGACAGCAGUGUCAGAGGCUUCAUACCCAGCCACAGCAGCAGCGGCAGUGGCCCCUUCACAAACUCCAAUAGCAGCUGUGCACCGCCAACCGCGACCGCGUCUUCGCUUGGCACCGGUAUUGUUGCGUCGUCGCCGCCGUGGGGCUCGAUGCAGCAUUACUCGACUCAAGCGUCUCCGCUGCACUCGCCCUCAGGCGGCAGCAAGGAAAGCCGGACGGCGACGCCGCAGCGCAGCGUGCAGUCGCUUCUCGCCACUAACGCUGUACCGCGCCACCCACACCGCGACCCCCUCCGGCGCUCCAGGGCCUGGUCUUGCAGUCCUCACCUACAGCAGCAGGCGCACGACCGUAAUGCAUCCACCGCCCCUUCCGUCACUGCCGUUCAAAAAGUCGUGCUCCUCUCGAAUGCGGCGUCGAGCGGCGGCGAUCGCCGCGACAGCAGACGUCGCAGCACCAGCGGCAAUCUGGGCACCUGCAGCGGCACCGACAGGCUAUCAAAGCGGAGCAGCGCCAUGAGAAGUAGUGGCGACAGCGUCUCGAAUGGCGCGUUAUCGCGGCGAUCGUCGUUCAUGACACGGACAACGGCGGCGACGGCGGCGGCGGCGGCAGCGGCGGCGGCAGCUGUGCGUGCAGCCGACUCGGUGCAGCGCAAAGGAUCAUUCGCGAUGCUUAGCGGGGCCGCAGCUCACGCUGCAGACGGCAGUCGGGCGGCAUCCGUGGUUCUUUCUCGUGCGAGCAACCCUGCUUCGACGACGGCCAGCGGCACCGCAGACGCAGCACGAGAGGGUGGCAACUCGAGCAUCCUCACGAGCAAUACCACCGCGGCGAGUCACACGUUCGAUCCGGCGUUCUCCGAGGUGCGCGCGCUUGGGAUGCAGCAGAACACCGGUGAGGAGGGCGACGACACGCUGUCGCGGCAACGCACCCGCAUGGAAAAUGGGGAAAGCAGCGACGAGGUCAUCGGGACUGCCGCCGAGAGCUCGCCCACGUCUCUGCCCAGCCGCCGCACCGGCAGUGUCAAGCAAUCGCUGCUGUGGGCCUAUCCAGGGGCUGGAUCGGCUUCGCAAGCCCCACAGCCGCAGCACCGUCGCCUCCCUCCACGCUAUGUGUCAAGCUCCUCCUACCUAUCCCGAGACAUGCGGGAGAGCUUGGCCAUGUGCGAUGCGGCCACCCGCAUCCGCGCUGACACGUACGAGGCGCGAGUCCUAAUCCCUUUUACCACGCCGCAGCGGCUGGAGCUGCUGAGCCGCCUGGGCAACGUGCAGCUCUCCAAGUAUCGCGGGCUCUCCGUCUUUGGUGUCAACCUCGUGAACCUGGUGACCGAGGAAGCCGCCGCCGAGGCAGCGCAGCCGUCGCCGCCGAUCAUUCCCCUGCGGUACGACAUAGCGGCGCGCACGUAUUUGGAGGGCGUGCGCGGCAAGAGUGUCAUCUUUUCGCCCUUGAUGUCGCCCACCACCGCGGCGCCAUCGUUUCCGAGCAAAUCAGCGCGCGCCAGCGCCGACGUCAAGGAGGCCAAGGCGGAGCCAACGGAGGCAGAAUCAGCAGUGGCAAAUACGGCGGCGGCGAAGAUGUCGAGCGCGGACACUUUGUCUGAGGCCGCAGCACCGGCAGCUGGAGCGGCGGUGUCGAUGGCGUUGCGGCUACGUCCGCCUCCCCUCCAGGCGCUGGCCAGCUCUGCCGCCGGCGCACCCGGCAUCGCCGUCCCAGCUGUGAGUGCGGUCACCAGCGCGACGAUGUCCUCACUCAGUGCCCGCUCGCGCGGCGAAAGCUCCGCGUUCAGCUCAGGUGCGGCUGGACAGAAAGUCGCGCCACUCGAGGCCGCAAAUCCAUCCGGCUUCUCCACCACACAGCAUGGAAGCGCCAGCGGCAGUGAAGGCACCUCUCCGGAGGGCGUUGAUGAUGACACACUGCGGCGUGGCAGCGGGGCGACCGCAUCGGGAGAAGCGACGCCGACGCAGCGCCACGCCGACCCCUUUCAACUGCCGAUGGACUCUUCGCCCACUGGCGGGACACAUCACGGCACCUACAGAGGGUUGUUAACACUGUCGAUGAAGUCCAAGGACGACGGCGAGGAUGAGCAUUUCUCUGCGUCCGUCGUAGCAGCAACCGCAGCGCAUGCAGAAGCGGCAAAGGGCAUGGAAGACGGUAAGAAGCGGAUCUCCGACAACGUUGGGAGAUGUACGAAGCAGCUGCAUGAAGGCAGAACACUCCGGGCUGCGGCGUCCUUCAGUGUAUUAACCGUGAGUAGCGGAAGUCUACCAAGGAAAGGCACAGGCUUGCAGCUGCCCGCAGUGCUGCUUGACGGCACCAUCGCCGCUGCAGAGGGCAAGAGCCGGAGCACGGCUGUCGCGAAGACUGAAAAAGAGCAGCUCACGGUACACGCGCGCACGACCACGCAGAGGGCGUCGAUGGAGAUAACGUCGCCGCUGCGACGGGGCAGCAGAGACGCGGCGCCGGUAGGCGAGACCCGAAGCACGGCCAAUACGGCGGUGACUGUGUCGACAGCGGUCAUGCGCUCACCACCGCAGCGGCACGGGCCUCAGAGAAACCUUACUCCGCAUUCCUGCCACCACGCCGUUGAACUGUCUGCCCAGAGCGGGACGUUACAGACACCGCUCCAUGUGGCGCUUCCAUUCGCGGAAAGCUGGAACGCGGGGUUGCAGUCGCCGCCAGUGAGCCAGGGCAGCAAUAUCCUCAGUGCCUCUUGCGCAGCCGGGGUGUCAGGCGCGUCGAUCACUGCAGGCAGUUCGGCAGACAGAACCACGCGCAGCAGCAGCAGCGGCACCCCAUCAACGCAGAGUCGGCCCUCCGUUCCGUACCCGUCGUCUCUGCCGCACCCCAUUGUCUCUUGUACGGCACCCUUCGCUGCUGGCAACAGCAACCCAACGGAGCCGGCCAGCACGCAGAGCAGCAAGACGCAGGGCCUCGUCAGCGUCUGCACGCAGAAAUCUGGCGGAACCGAGCUGCUCGGCUAUGCGCUGUCCAACAGUGCGGCCGCUGCCUUCGGCGACCUCAGCACCGCACUGAAGAAGGAAGAUAAUGAGCAUGCUGGGAGCAGCGCGAGGGCAAGCAGCACUGAAAACAAGGAAGAGGCAAAGAAGGCGACCGUGAACGCAACGGCAUUGCUGGAGCCCCUCGCCGUCGGGGCUCCCGAGACCAAGCGCCACACUCAGCAGUACGCGAAUCCGGCGUCGCUCUCGGGGCAAGCACCCGAGUCGGUGAUUGUCGCUGACAUAUCGGCGCACGCCGCCUUGCCGAGCAUCUCAUUCGCUACUCUCACUGGCACGGCUGCGGCGCAGUCGACGACGGCUGAGGAAGGCGAUGCGAUGACAUCGACGAUGGAGGUGAAGCUGUCCGGGGUGUCCGCUGACAAUGGAGAGCACAAAAGCAGCGGCAAUCUGGGCAAUCUCGUCGCACCCGUGGCUACGGGGAACGGAGGGGCGGGGGCGUCGGAUGAUCGGCGUGCUCCUGCGGGCGGCGGCAACGCCAACAUGCCCGACGAGGCGAAUGACUCGUUUGCCGAUAGCUUCAUGGAUAUUUUCGGUCUCGUCAACCGCCCACAGCAGCUGGCAGAUCUGCGACGCUGCGUCAGCAUGCAUGUACGAAGCGUUUGCGAUCAUGGUUUCUUGUCGACUGGCAGCAGCUCCAUGUCCUCUGGCGCCACCACCAAUGCGGUGGCAGCAGCGGCGGCAGUGCAGGGGAACACGUCAAGCUCCUCUACGGGGAAUCGCGGUUGGGGUGCCGCGGUUGCCGCGCAGCCUAUUCGGCCAUUAACCGCCUUCGUCUCCUCACCCAGCGAGAGCCGCGUCGAUGAAGGUGUGCGCAGCAGCGAGAGCAGUAAGCUGAGGCGUAUCGCAGGCCUCAGCAACAUCGCCGCAACAGCAGAGAAGGGCGCCACUCCCUACGCAAACGCCGCCAUGCGUGCCGUUGCGGAGGACGCGGCUGAUCAAACAACGCGCAACAACCUGCAUGUGCUUGUCUACACGACCCGCGCCUACGCAGAAGUAGAAGAGGUCCUAGGCAUCUACGGGCACUGCACAACCUUCGUCACGAGUGCGACGAAGAUGCUACGGUACGCCCGCUCAGGGCUGCAGCUCUUCGACGUCGUGAUCGUGGAGUGGGUGGAGUCUCUUAUUAGCGGGGAAAUGCACGACACGCUCGCCAAACAUGCCGUCGAGGAGACGGUCGUGGCCUUCUUCAUCUCGACAAGGCCUGGCGUGCGCACACCGACGAUGAACGUCGAUAACAUCAUGACGGACGCGACGGUGGUCAUGUACGCCGACAACCUGCUGGAAGGGCUGCUCUCGCGGAAUGUACUGGAGGAGGUGCAGCAGCUGAUCCGUCGCCGCCGGCUUCUGCGCUCGAUGGUAGGUGUGAGGAAGGAGCAGUCGUACCAGAUUGUGAGCCACAUCGGGAGCGGCGCCUUUGGCGACGUCUUCGAGGUAAUGAUGUACGUGUCUCGGGGCAGACUGGCGAUGAAGCGCAUCUUUUUGAAGAGCAUGAAGCUGCGACAGCUGGAGAUCAUCAACCGCGAGGUCAGCAUCAUGCGCUCUCUUGAGCACCCUAAUAUCGUGUCUUUCUCGCACACACGGCUGGAGGACAACGCGUACGCCAUAUUCAUGGAACUCUGCGACGCGACGCUGGCGAAUCAUCUGCUGGAGCCGUCCGUGGCAAUUCCGGGCGCAGCCCAGCGGCAGCAAUACCGCAGCGCCGGCCUGAUGGCCGGAUACCCAGAUAACGCCAUGAACAACAGCAGCAACUCCGUCAGCGGCAACGGCGUCGACGUGGCGGGUAUGCUGCAAGCAGCAGCGCGCGAGGGCGGCAGAACCGAAUUUCCCGGCGCCCACGGGGCCUCGAUAAUGACGCCGGAGCUCAAACGUCCACAGGACGCCGUCAUGAUCGUGCACGACAUCGCCAGCGCGCUGAUCUACCUGCAUCGCCGCGGCAUCAUCCACCGGGACAUCAAGCCAGCCAACGUGCUCUUCGCGAACGGCAUGGCAAAGCUCGGCGACUUCGGGUCGGCCGUGAAGAUGACGGAGUCUCGGCAGCUGCGCAACAUGAAGGGGACGGUGAGCUACAUGGCACCCGAGAUGGUGCUUGGCGAGCCGUACACCGAGUCCUGCGACCUGUGGUCCUUUGGGUGCCUCAUCGCACGUAUCAUGGGCAUCAAUCUGGGCCACCUGAACGGGCUCCACAUGCCGGCGCUCAACGAGCUGUACCGCGCCAUCCCCAAGACCGGAUCGCUGCCGCUCACCUUUACCAACCGCCUGUCCUCGCGCUUUGGGCAUCACUUCACGGAAGAGACGACGAGCCGCGUGCUGAAGGCGCUCAAGCAUGCCAUCGAGAUUGACAUGGCGGAGCGUCAGCUUGCUGCUUCGCCGAACUCGCACAACUCUGUGGACGCGAAUAGCACCGUCGAAGACAAAGAGAUGCAGAGCAGCAGCCAGCAGACUACCUCCAUCGACAGUGGCGCGUCGCUCUGCACAGACACGGCAUCAAUGACGAGCGAGCGGGAAUCGCGGCACGCCACGGAGCCAGAUGGCACCGGGACUGCCACCUCCGAAGCCGACAGUCAAAACAGUCGCCGCAGUAUCUUGUGCAUCACGACAUCCGAUAUCGUCGUGCUGGGCGAAUUCUUCGUGCUGCUGCCCGCCUCGCUCGUGGACCUUUUUAAUCGACUGUUUCACCGCGAUCCUGCGAAGCGCAUGACAGCGGCCGAGGUGUUGGACCAUCAAGUCUCAUGGGAUGUGGAAUGGAUGGCGCGCAUGAUGCAGGAGAUCUACGAGGUUUCGUGCCUCAUUGAGCAGAGAAGCGCGGGUGCGCAAGGCGCAGCAGGAGGGGCGAGCCGGUUCCAUUUAGCAGGGCAGGCAGGUGGAGGGCGACUGCCGCGUGGGGAGGAAGGUGCUGGAACGGGCGUCGCUACACCGUCAAUGACGGCGGGCAACUUCGCGCACUUCCCUAUCCAACCCGGCUCCGGUGAUCUGGCGUGGAUGACCGGCGGCAGUGGAGGCCAACGCGUUCUCGGCGCGGCCGGGACAGGCAGUGGUGCCAACAUUCUGUCAGCCGCGAACAACUAUGUGCUCGACUUGUCGCUAAGCAGCAGCUCUAGCGGCAGCGGCGGCGACGACAGCGGCGGCAGGGGCAGCAAGGACGAGGCAUCUGACGACUGAGCUCGCAUGAAGAGCAAUGCUCUCGGAUUCCUCCGUACAUUCCGCCCUCCGCGACUGUAGAGAAAAAGCAUGCGGGCGUCUUCUGUUGGUGUGUGCGUGUCUGCGUGUGCCGCGAGCUUUCCCUUUGUAGCUUCGCCUCUCUUUCCCUCGCUCUAUACCACUUUUUCGUGGCUGCUGUUGCUGGGCCUUCGCCCUGUCCUUCCCCUCUCUCGUGUACCCCUCCGCGUACAGCGAACACCCGCUCCAUGCCCAAACACAGCGCCUUUCUUCCUUUUCUUUUCCCGUGAUCCCUUUCAUGUGCAUGCCCGUGGCCUGGGCCGUGUUGUGCGUCGGUGUCGGUGUCCCCUCUCUCGGGCUUCUUCCUCCUCGAUUUUACGCACGUAUGAGUGAUGCCUUUUUUCUUUGCGUUGUCUCUCUGCUCAUGGUGGGAGCGCGCACGCUCCGCGUCAUGUUCCUGGUAGGCCGCCGCUGCUGUGACACCCAUACGGUAUCCUCGCCCUCCCUCUCUCCUUUCUCUCUCCCUAUUAUCGCCAAAUACCAUCUUUCCGUGUUGUCUUCCUUCUUGUCGGUGUGUGCCUGUGUGGGUGUGUGUACGGAUGUGGGUGCCAUGUGGUCGGCCCUUCUUAUAUGGAUACUCUCUCUCUCUCUCGCGCGCCCCCUCCCCGUUUUUCCUCCUCCCGGUGUCUUCUCUCUUGUUGGGUCUGUUUCGUUGUCUGGUAUGCCUGUGUGUAUGUGCUUGCAUGGAGGCAAGCCGCCGCACCCAUCCCCCCUCCCUCUCACAUUUCCUCUCUUCGUUUUAGGCUUCUGCGUAUGUUCUGCUUUUCCUUUCAUCGACCGUGCUCUAUUUCAGGUAAAACGCGGUAUACGUGCUGCGGUUUUUGUGUACCUGCUGAUCUGCGGAUGUCGUGGGUUUCGUCCGUCUAACUGUGCCAGUCGAGGGACGCGCAUGAUAUCCGCUCCGUCCUCUCUCCCUCUCUCCCUCCCCCCCUCUCUCGCCACAGCCUCCAGGCUGUUUCAUGGUGUAAGCUUGUGUUUUUCUUUGUUGUUUUCCAAUUCGCUACAGCGGCUCGUCUCGUGUUCGCGCGGUAGAGCCUGGCCGAGACUCAUACACACAGAGGCAAGCAGAUUUAUAGCCGCUUGCGAGGGCGCACAUGCAAGUCCCAGAUAUGCUGUCGUAUGCCGUUUUCAUGUGCGAGCCUCGCCCCCUCCUCCCCUUCUUCUCCGCUCACACGCUUAUGCGCGUCUCUUCCACGCUUUUCUGUUGCGUGCCUGCGACUGUUGUCGACUUACUUCGUAGUCAACCUGUUUUUUUGUUGUUGUUGUUCUCUGCGUGUGUGUGUUUGAGGUGCUCGCCUAUACCGCCUGCAGCCAUCUCACACGACGCAUGCGCGCCUAUGCGGACGCAUGGGCACAUACACGCAUACGUGAAUGCAGAUAUGCUCACAGGCAUCUAUAUGUCCACACACGUAGACGACCAGUGUGUGUGUGUGUGUGUGUGUGCGUGUGUGUGGGAUGCCGAGGUUGGGAGCUAGAAAAGGGGCUCAAACGAAAGCAGAGGGAUGUAGGCACACCUAUGAUACGGGUCAAGGCGGCCGCGGUCCAAACGCCCACGCACACCAGCACUGAGGUUGGAAUUUGCAUUUUUUUUCGGGGGAGGAGGGGGAGUUGUCUGGGCUUGUUCUCGUCUAGCGUUUCUUUUUUUUUUUCGUGCCUUUGGUUUACGCUGCCUCGGUGUACAUACAUAUAUGCGUAUGUCUUAUAUGGAUACACAUAUACAUACGCAGCAGCCAGAGCAGCAGAAGCAGCACUUGUCGUGUGUGCUCACUUUGUUUUUCUUCUUGCGUCAUCCUUUGGAUUCAGCAUGCUACGCACACGACAGUGUUGCCCAUUUCAU